rnacentral:rRNA from 1 species
AUUGAACGCUGGCGGCCGGCCUAACACAUGCAAGUCGAACGAGUGGCGGACGGGUGAGUAAUGUCUGGGAAACUGCCCGAUGGAGGGGGAUAACUACUGGAAACGGUAGCUAAUACCGCAUACCAUCGGAUGUGCCCAGAUGGGAUUAGCUAGUAGGUGGGGUAACGGUGCACCUAGGCGACGAUCCCUAGCUGGUCUGAGAGGAUGACCAGCCACACUGGAACUGAGACACGGUCCAGACUCCUACGGGAGGCAGCAGUGGGGAAUAUGGCACAAUGGGCGAAAGCCUGAUGCAGCAAUGCCGCGUGUAGGAAGAAGGCCUUGGGGUUGUAAAGUACUUUCAGCGGUGAGGCGUUACUCGCAGAAGAAGCAACGGCUAACUCCGUGCCAGCCGCCGCGGUAAUAC